AAGGCGAGGCCGAAAGGCGUAGUCGAUGGGAAACAGGUUAAUAUUCCUGUACUUGGUGUUACUGCGAAGGGGGGACGGAGAAGGCUAUGUUAGCCGGGCGACGGUUGUCCCGGUUUAAGCAUGUAGGCGGAGGUUCCAGGUAAAUCCGGUACCUUUUAACGCUGAGGUGUGAUGACGAGGCACUACGGUGCUGAAGUAACAAAUGCCCUGCUUCCAGGAAAAGCCUCUAAGCAUCAGGUAACACGAAAUCGUACCCCAAACCGACACAGGUGGUCAGGUAGAGAAUACCAAGGCGCUUGAGAGAACUCGGGUGAAGGAACUAGGCAAAAUGGUGCCGUAACUUCGGGAGAAGGCACGCUGAUAUGUAGGUGAAGCCCCUGCGGGUGGAGCUGAAAUCAGUCGAAGAUACCAGCUGGCUGCAACUGUUUAUUAAAAACACAGCACUGUGCAAACACGAAAGUGGACGUAUACGGUGUGACGCCUGCCCGGUGCCGGAAGGUUAAUUGAUGGGGUUAGCGGCAACGCGAAGCUCUUGAUCGAAGCCCCGGUAAACGGCGGCCGUAACUAUAACGGUCCUAAGGUAGCGAAAUUCCUUGUCGGGUAAGUUCCGACCUGCACGAAUGGCGUAAUGAUGGCCAGGCUGUCUCCACCCGAGACUCAGUGAAAUUGAACUCGCUGUGAAGAUGCAGUGUACCCGCGGCAAGACGGAAAGACCCCGUGAACCUUUACUAUAGCUUGACACUGAACACUGGUCCUUGAUGUGUAGGAUAGGUGGGAGGCUUUGAAGCGUGGACGCCAGUCUGCGUGGAGCCGUCCUUGAAAUACCACCCUUUAAUGGCUGGUGUUCUAACGUGGACCCGUUACCCGGGUUGCGGACAGUGUCUGGUGGGUAGUUUGACUGGGGCGGUCUCCUCCCAAAGAGUAACGGAGGAGCACGAAGGUUAGCUAAUCCUGGUCGGACAUCAGGAGGUUAGUGCAAUGGCAUAAGCUAGCUUGACUGCGAGAGUGACGGCUCGAGCAGGUGCGAAAGCAGGUCAUAGUGAUCCGGUGGUUCUGAAUGGAAGGGCCAUCGCUCAACGGAUAAAAGGUACUCCGGGGAUAACAGGCUGAUACCGCCCAAGAGUUCAUAUCGACGGCGGUGUUUGGCACCUCGAUGUCGGCUCAUCACAUCCUGGGGCUGAAGUAGGUCCCAAGGGUAUGGCUGUUCGCCAUUUAAAGUGGUACGCGAGCUGGGUUUAGAACGUCGUGAGACAGUUCGGUCCCUAUCUGCCGUGGGCGCUGGAGAAUUGAGGGGGGCUGCUCCUAGUACGAGAGGACCGGAGUGGACGCAUCACUGGUGUUCGGGUUGUCAUGCCAAUGGCACUGCCCGGUAGCUAAAUGCGGAAGAGAUAAGUGCUGAAAGCAUCUAAGCACGAAACUUGCCCCGAGAUGAGUUCUCCCUGAGACUUUAAGUCUCCUGAAGGAACGUUGAAGACGACGACGUUGAUAGGUCGGGUGUGUAAGCGCAGCGAUGCGUUGAGCUAACCGAUACUAAUGAACCUGAGGUUUAA
rnacentral:rRNA from 1 species